rnacentral:rRNA from 1 species
UACGUAGGGUCCGAGCGUUGUCCGGAGUUACUGGGCGUAAAGCGCGCGCAGGCGGCGGUAUAAGCAUGGCGUGAAAGCCCCAGGCUCAACCUGGGAGGGUCGUCGUGGACUGUACCGCUUGAGGGCGAUAGGGGCUGGUGGAAUGCCUGGUGUAGUGGUGAAAUGCGUAGAGAUCAGGCGGAACACCCGUGGCGAAGGCGACUUACUGGACACAUAUUGACGCUGAGGUGCGAAAGCGUGGGGAGCAAACAGG